CGAGAUUCCCGGCUUGGGAUCUGGUAACCUCACUCGGGAGGUCACGGGUGCCCGCGCCCUGGCCAUCUCCCUCGGGCGGGAAGGAGCAAGAAUGCGUUUUCUCCGCCAGCUGCGCUCUCCGCUCCGGAGGCGGCAGCGACACAAGGCGCAUGACCAAAGGAGUCCCAAAGGCCAUCCCCGCUCCUGAAAAGAAAUGGUUUCCGUGGCCCGGCAUGCCUCGCCGGGCGCAGCGACAGGGGUCCUGCCCGAGCUCGCCUGGGACUCCGGGUGCACCGGCGGAGCCUCUCCUUUCUGUGACUCUCACAGAGAGGAGCUAAAUUGCAAUCAACUCCGCUCCUGCUUUUCGGAGGAAAGCCUUCCCUACUGUAAACGUGGCGGGUGAUGCUCGCAGCGGCGUUUCAGCACGGUCUUCCCGAGGAGGUUCAUCGCCAGGCAGGCUCUGGCGACGCCCCCAGCCCGCUCCAGCUCCCGGGCCUCCUUUGAAGUCGCAGCUGGAGCAGCCACUGCGGGAGGCGGGAAAUCCUGCCCAGCCCCUCCCCCGCCGCCAGCUUGGACCUGGCCACUGGGGCCCAGUUCCGCCACUGACCGGAACCAACAGCCAUUUGGUUCCUUUGAGCACUCGGGUGCCAAGCAUACCCUCACCCUCCAACCCGGAGUCCGCCUAGGACAUCCUCUUCCAAUCGUGGCGCUCGAAACUGCCUCCGCCCGGUGGAUUCCUCAUCCUUGAGCCCACAGCCAAGUAAAAGCAAUUACAGUUUGGAAUCCCAGGAGACAAGCAAAUGAUUUCGCUUAUGGAAAGAACUGCCUAAAGAAGAGUUCCCUAAAGGUUAGAGAACAAGGGGGCCGCCUUGGAGGCUGAGAGACGGGCGAGCGGGGACGGAGGGCAUGUGGCUAGAGAGUGGUCCACGGAAGCCGCCACGCAUUGUCAGAGAAGAGGGGAGGAGCGACAGCGAAGACAAGCGCAGAGGACUAGCAGGCGAUCGCGGAGGCUGCCAAGUGAUGGGAGUCAGAGGAGGGGAGAAGCGCGCACCCCACGGGCAGCUGGCCGGGCGGCAGGCUCCUCCUUUUGCAGCCUUUCACCCCUGGCUUCCCCCGGCGCUUGCAGACUGCACCAAGACACACACUGCGCUGGGGGCGCUCGCGGGCAUGGCAUGGGCGGGGUGCGGCAGGAACCAAAGAGCCCUGUGCCCCACACCGCGCAGGGCGUGCUGCACACCUGGCACCCGGGACUCACCAUCUGUUCAGAGCUGCCUCCUCGGCCCAGAGGUGUGGCCUGCGGACAGAUAAGAGUACCUCAUGGCAGCACGACUCCACAUCAACUGCCACUUCAACUGCCAAUCAGAGUUGUGAGUGCCCUACUGUAUGUCUCUGCUCAGUUUUAGAGCUUCCAGUUGAAGGUCUCAGUAACUGCAUCAUCUGUUCUACUCUGCAAGCUGCAAACGAAUACUGUGUAUGCUGUAAGAUAAAAUCAUACAUAAGGCAGAGGCAAAUUAGCCUUUGUAAAGAGGCAAAUUUGGGGACCAAGAGGAGGGUGGUGUCUGUUCAAGUAACUAGAAGUUCAUGAUUUUUUUUUUUCUUACUAGUCCCCGAAGCAUCAAACUCCUCAGGCUGUUUGUCCCAUACUCACAGCAUACAGAUAAAACGAAAAAUAAUUUCAAGUCGGGCGCGGUGUAUCACACCCCUAAUCUCAGCACUUUGGUUGAGGCAAGAGGAUUGCCACAAGUUGAAGGCCAGCCUGGGCUUACAGAGCCAGACUUCGUCAAAUGAAUUACAUAUGUAAGUUUAUCUAUCUCGUCAGGACAAAUAACUGAAGGCUCAUCCUUGCAACACUCAAGUUAACUAAAUUUCAUAAACAUCAUCUGAAAUAUCGCCUGGUUGUACAACUAUUGAGUCACUAGUUUUUUGAGACAAAUUCUAAUGUAACCCAGGCUGGCCUUGAACUAUGUGUAGUUAGAAUGACUUGGCACUUCUAAUUCUUUGGCCUCUAGCUCCUAAGUACUGAAAUUACUGGCUUGCGCCACCAUGCAUAGUGUUAUGUAACUUUAAAUGAAAGAGAAAUCGUGUGUAACAUUACCUCCUAUACACGUAUUUUUAAAGAUCUACAUGAUGCCCAAUGUACCAUAUAUUACAAACUAUGUAGUAUAUCAUAAAACCAUACAUUUCACACAUGCAUGGUGCUAGGCAUGAUGGCUCAUGCUUGUAAUUCUGUUGCUCAAUAAAUAAGAGAUCCAGAGACUGAUAUGGGGAUUCAGGCUUCAAGCUGAGUAUCAGAAAAGCAAAGCAGCUGGGCACUAGCUCUCACUCUACCUCAGAGUGAAAUGGCCCAUCCAAGAGUUCUACCAAACCUCAGACUGAACCCUCUCCUCAGUGCGGCUGGAGAAUCCUGGGACCUCAAUGUCUUCCUAUCUGCCAUGUGGCUGGAGAAUGAAUGCCUCAUACUGAAUGUUGAAGACCCUGCUCCUAUCUUAUAUACCUCCCUAAUGCUGGGAUUAAAGGUCUGUAAACGCUGUUCCAAAUAAUAGCAGCAGUUAAGGUGGACUGGAAGACUGACAUCUGGGUGCUGAGAUCUCAGACACAUGAAGAGAGGUGGCAGCUGUUGACAGCAACAAGAAGGGGAAAGUGUGACCCAGCCGGGUGGCCUGAGUUCCAACGGAAAGGGAAUUUUCACCAGAGGAAAGAGACUUCACAUCUGGAAGUACCAAAAUGGAGUGGGUGGUGAGUGUAGAGUUUGAGCUGAGAGCUGACUGGAAAGGGAUUUCUGGCAGAGGACUUAGACAACCACGGAACGACUUUUGGAAGAAGAAGGUGCUCAUGUUGCCUAACACUGCCGUCUGAAAGGUUUUUGUUUUUUAAACAAUAAAUAACUUUGGGGGAAGGUAUUUUUAUUGUAAAGAUAUCUUCUCAUUUUAAAUUUGUUAACAAAUUCCCGCACUUGGGAUAUAGUGUCUCUCUCUGAGUUUGAGGCCACUCUGGUCUACAGAGUUAGUUCUAGGCCAGUCAGGACUAUAUAGUGAGCCCCCCUCCCUCUCUAUCUCUCUCUUUCUCUCUUUCUGUCUUCCUCCCUCCCUCUCCCUCUCUCUCUCUCUCUCUUACUCCUCCCCACAAAACACACACACAAAAUUGAUAAUGAAAAUACACUAUAAUUUAAUAAACUUGGUUUUCAUUUGGCAUGAUGAAAAGAUUCUGGUAUCUGAUGUAUGGCAAUUGCACAACAUUGUGAGUGUUAUAAAGGACAUCAAAUUGCAGUCUGAAAAGUGGUCAAAGUGAGGCUUCCUCUGCUCGGCUUGCUGUGAUAAAUGCAUAACUGAGUGGUUUAGAAAUGAUGGAAAUGUGGGGCUGGGACGAUGGCCGAGUUGGUAAAGCGCUUGCCACACAAGCAUUCCCAGAACACACGGGGAAAAAGCCUUGGCAAAGCCAGGCAUGCUUGUUAUCUCAGUGCCAGUGAGUUGGAGACAGGCAGAUCACAGAGCAUAGUGACUAGGCUACCUAGCCUACUUGCUGAGUUUCAGGCCAGUUAGAGACCCUGUCUGUAAACAAAAAAAGAAAACCAAACAACAACAACCACAACAAAAAAAGGAGGAUAGUGGCCAAAGUUGAUCCUUGGCUUCAGCAUACACAAAUACGUGUUCAUGUUCACCCAAAUACAAAACACGUAUGCACACACAAACACAAUCACCCCAAGUCAAUGAAACAACCAACAAAAACAAUAGACAUGUACUUCACACUGUUCUGAAGGCUGGCAAGGCCAGGUUUUUGACACUCUAGUAGAGAUUCAGUGUCUGUUGAGAAUUAAUUUCCUACCUUUUUGUGUGUCUCUAUGUGACACAAGGUUCA
rnacentral:lncRNA from 1 species